ensembl:lncRNA
AUGUUCUCCCCUCAAAAGCCUGUGAUCAAGGAAGAGAAGACAAUUUUCUUGAAUUCUGUAUGGAAAAGGAGCCCAGGAACGAAACAGAUGAAGAGCUGGAGUCUUAAUAUGUCCCUGCAGUUAAGAUUGUGAAAACUAGUUAAGAAGGAAGCGGACAAAGAGACCAUUAAUUAUCAAAAUGUACCGAUAUAAGAUGAUUUAGCAACAAAUCCAGGCAACCACAGCUUUACAAGAAAUCUGAGGGAAAAUUCAAUCCGCUUGACAGGAUUACAGUAAAAGGAAUGCUGGUUGAUUGGCUUGCUGGUGACUCAGAGAAGCAAACCCAACACACAAUCUUUUGGCAGCACAGUCUAUGUGGACCUUGACCUUUGAAUAAGCAGUGACUAUAUCUUCCAACUAAAGCAUGUGUGGGAGUUUGUAUGCAGUUGGCUGUGAGAGAGAGAGAGGAAAAGCACCUCAGCUGGAGUUUUUCUUUCGCAUUACAGAAAAUGAUGCAAAAUCAUGAAUGAGCAGGAAAAUGAUAGGAUGGGAAAUUUUCCCGCUCUGCUAAACUGUCUGGUAUUUUGUGAAGUCAUCUUCUUUGUUAUCGCUAUAUAGAGUGACAAAUAUUCCCUAGUAUCUCAGGAAUAUUGAGGAGUGGAGACUCUUUUAUUAAUGUUCCUCUAUGAUUGUGAAUGUUAUAACAGAAUGCCAAAAUGAAGAUAAGUCUUAAGGAAAUUCAUCUGCAGUGAACACUCCAAACAGGAAUGUGAAACAGAAAAACCAUUUACAGUGCUAAUGAAAUGUAUACAUCUCACUUUCUGCGAAUCACUCCGGGGAUUUCCCCAGAAUUUGAUCAGAAAGGGAAUUUUGAUAGCUGUAAAUGGGUAAAUGAAUUAAUGGUAAGAGGAUGAAGAAAGGUACACGUGUGAUUACAACAAACUGACAGUAUGAUGGCGUACCCCAAAAGUGUGUACAUUUUGCAAGAUGUACUUUUUCCGAUGUGUGGAUAUACAUAUCUGUAGAGAAAAAUAGAUUUGAAAAGCCAUUCACAGUUUGCCUUCCCCUAACUCAAGGAAUAAUAUUCAAUCAGCAAAAGCAGUUCCAAUCCUACAGAUAGUAUAUUACAUUACUUCUCCUGUUAUUACAUUUUUAAUACUUGGUAUUUAAAAUUAUUAUAAUGGAGAAGCCAGAUUUCUUCCUCCUUCUCUUCCUCUUCUUCCUCCUCCUCCCCUCCCAAAAUUGUCCAAACACCCAAUAACUACUUUUUCUGUUUUCUGGCGUAUGUCUGCAUUCAUGGCUGAAACUAGGAUAUAACUCUGCAAUUUAGUGGAUUUCCAUGUAGAACCUAAAAUUAUGAAACAAUUUAAAAAAUGCUAAGUCCCAUAGAUGAAGGAAUCUGCACACACAUAACAUUCAGUGUGUUUUAUUUUGCUAAUAUUAAUUGUAGUGGGAGGUUUCAUAUGUGAAUAUGCAUUAACUAAUACAGCCAACUUUAUUAAUAUCAUUCAUGAGCAAUUAUAAUAUUGACUCUAUUCUCUCUGAACAAGUUGACAAAUUUCUGUAUGCAUUUAUAAUAAACACACUGUGUAUCACGGCCAUUGUAAAUGCAUUGUUUGUAAUGUAAUUUACUCACAACUGUUGGCCCUUUGUUGUGUUAUUUGAUGGUUUUCUGUGAAGCUCAAUCCACUUGCAACAAAAAGACGAUUCUGUUUUUAAAGAAUGAUAAAUAUGGCUAACAGGUCUCAUUGUGUUACAAUAUGGCAUGAAAACCUUUGAUGUAUUCUGUGUAGCAUACAAAAUAGAACCACAUGGAUAAAUUAGAAUCACAUGAAUUAUAACCUUAUCUCUAGGCUUGCAAAGGAACCACAUACAUUAAUGCAAAAAAUAUGGUGAUAUCUACUUUGAAUCCUAGAGUUGGAAGGGAGUUGAACCAUGCAGUCCAGCUCCUCGCUCAGUGUAGGAUCUCUAGCUCCACCAGACCAACAAUUCCUAAUAGCCAGUAAGUUGUUUGAGAUUUCUGGGAGUUGAAGUCCAAAAUGCCUGGAGGGCUGACGUUGACCAUAUCUGAGCUAGACGGUCCCAAACAGAUAGCUGUCUGGCCUCUUUUUGUUUUACAAGACUCGUAAAACAAAAGGUGAUGAUCUUGGGCAAUCAAGGGGAGGUUGUCAAUAAAGAGGUUUCACAAAUGAGUUUCUGUUUUACUUUGAGUUUCUGUUUCUCUGGUCAGCAAUCUCUCAGCCUCAAGUGAACCAUUAACUAGACAAAUAAUUCUGGGCUUAUCUAGGUUGGCACGGGAAACUAUCUAUUGCUGCAUAUAUAAACAAUUAAUUUUGAUGAUUAUCUGGCUUGGGAAACAGCCAGAAGGAUUUGCCCAAACUUCUUCUUCUUAUAGAAAUAUUUCAGCAGGGUAAUGGAAAGAUGACUAUCCCUGGGCUAGAUCCUGUUACAUUUCAUAAAGAAGUUUAAACAGUUUUUAUAUAAGAAAUAGAUACAGUACACAGAAAGUUACAAGUUACACAGAAAGCCAAGGAAAACAAAUACAAUUUAUUAAAGGGUUAGAAAUGAUAAAGUAUUGGGGGGGGAGGGGUUUGAAGCUGCCACCAGUCUGCUCCUGAUCUCCAAUCCUUUAAAAAGUAUUUUUAAAAAUAAUAAAUAAUAUAUUUAUUGCAGAGCCCUCUGUAAACUAUAGAUCUAUUGGUGGGGGUCAUUGUGGCUUGACAACACCAGGACCCCGUGGCACCUCUCUUGAGACCUCCAGUUUGAACCACAGCCAUUGAUGAUGACUUAGUGCUUCCAGAAUCUCCAGCUCCCCUUUCUGGCCCAAAAAAGAUGAACUGCAGUUCUUAGAAAUCUCCAGGUUCAAAAAAUAUGCAUUUCUAGAAAGACCAGAAAGCCUCUCUGUAUACUUUAAAAUAAAAUGCAAUUUCCUGCUUCUUGGCAGGGGAUUGGACUGGAUGGCCCAUGAGGUCGCUUUCAACUCUAUUAUUCUAUGGUUCUAAAAUAAAAAACCCCUAUUUUGAUGCUUUAUUUUUCAGUAGUCUGUACAGCUCCUGGCAUGUCUUGAGGCAUUAAAGCGGUCACUGCAGUGGACAAAGUUGCUCACUUUUCUCCUACAUACAGUAGAAGAGUUCCACACCCCAAACUGGUAGUCAGCUGAGGCUGUCUGUACCCACACUGCAGAACUGUCGUAUUAACUACUGUGGCUCAAUGAUAUGGAAUUCUGGGACUUGUAGUUUUGUUAGAUAUUCCCUUCUCUUUGUCAGAGAACUCUGGUGCCACAAAGAUUCCAUAGGAUGGAGCUGUGGCAGUUAAAGUGGUAUCAAUAUACUAUUUUCCUGUAGUAUAGAUGGCCUCCAAGUAUCUAUCAGUAGUUUACACCAGGAUACAGAUUCUAUGUAUAAAAUGUCUUCCUGCUAAGGAGGUCAACAAUCCAUUGUCUAUGGAAUAUUUUUCUCUCUAGAAUAUUUAUCUGUACAGCAAUUAACUUGUGCUCCAAAGCAGCGACCUCUCUGGCUAAGUAUCCUACUGUUCCCUAGCAGGCCAUUUUGUCCUAGGUCAAAGCGACAACAUCCGUAUUUUAAUCUUAUUGAUUUCCGCACAAUUCCUAGCUAAGGCACGUAGUCUCAAAAUGACCAAAUAAAUAUAAUUUUAGCCAUCUAAAUAUUGUGGGGUUGUAUGGUGAAGGAUAGUUAGACCCCUUUUCAAAGUAGGUUAUUUUCCAACAUUUAAAGUUUCAAGUGGAAAGGAAGGCAACAGGAAGCAUCUCCUCUCCCCAAGCGAAGAGAAGCCAGAUGUC